UGGUGAACGCAUUAUUGAUAUAUCGGAUGUGUCAUCUUAAGCUCUUUCGUACUUCAGUCCAUACGCGCCACCAAGGGCCAUCUAUCCAUAUGGCCUUUCCGCUGAUAGAACCUUUUCAACUGAGAAAAAUCGCAUAGAGUUUGCUCUCUGGUUUUCUUCUCUUCGCUUUAUCUGGGCCGUACUCACCAUAUUUCUAUUCAGCAGACUGAUCAUCUGAUUUAUAUACAAUAAAGAGCAUCCUAGGCCAUUAUCUAUGUACCCGCCCGCAUGGCUAUUAUAUUUAAAAAAAAAAAAAAAAAAAAUCAACUCAUCACAUCUCCACUUCCAGUAUUCCCCUGUGGAUCCCUAAUCAUAAUAUACAUAACCGCAUACCCAUCUCCAUCACCUUCCGCAUCAAUCCCAUAGUCGGCCAGCUUUAUUCGGAAUGUGUCCACUAGCUUCCAUCCCAAUCGCUCAUACAGAGGC
rnacentral:sRNA from 1 species